UCGGAAUGAAAGUCAUUAAAUUCUUAAGUAGCACAGACAGCUACAGGUGAUUUAAGAAUUGACCUUUAAAUGAUUAAGGAAAUGGUAUUACUAUUCUAGUUAUUUGACGGGGGUAUAUGUUCAGUAAAAGGGGAAGGUGAUGUAAACUGAUAUUACUUCUGUGGGAUUGCAGCAUUUUCUUGAUUGGACCGACUGUUGAUGUUUGAGUUGUUGAUGGAACAUGGAAACUUUAGAAUAUUUUUUUGUGGAAUGAAUGGGUACUUGAUGUGUGAUAGGUUUUCAUAUGGCGGAAUGUGGGAUCAGGUAUAGUCAUUUGUAUGUUAUAUGGAGUUGGAGACUAGAAGUUCUCUGAUACAGUCUAUGUCGUGAUUGUGGAUCGCGAGUGUGGGUACCAUUAGCGGCUAUUGGGAGUUGGAGGCCCAAGUGGAUCAUUCUUUGCUUGGUAUUUUAGAUUUUGGACAUUGUAUGUAGGUGUGGACUGGUCGCCUCAGUGAUUGGGUUAUUCUAGACUAUUGUGCUAUGGGUUAUGUCGGAAAAGGUCACGGGUUAGGUGGUGAGGUGCAUCGGACUAUGUUCUAGCAGAAUGGUUGUGUUCCAAAGACCAGCGGACGGCUGGGAAGGAUUGCUUUCCUUAGUUGGGCUUUUGUGAUGAAUAUUAGUAAAGAGGUUCCUACCAUUGAUCCAGUACCGAUAUUGAGGGACUUUUUUGGAGCAUGCUCCUAGCGAUUAU
rnacentral:lncRNA from 1 species